rnacentral:rRNA from 1 species
UGGGGAAUAUUGCACAAUGGGCGCAAGCCUGAUGCAGCCAUGCCGCGUGUAUGAAGAAGGCCUUCGGGUUGUAAAGUACUUUCAGCGGGGAGGAAGGCGAUAAGGUUAAUAACCUUGUCGAUUGACGUUACCCGCAGAAGAAGCACCGGCUAACUCCGUGCCAGCAGCCGCGGUAAUACGGAGGGUGCAAGCGUUAAUCGGAAUUACUGGGCGUAAAGCGCACGCAGGCGGUUUGUCAAGUCGGAUGUGAAAUCCCCGGGCUCAACCUGGGAACUGCAUUCGAAACUGGAAGGCUAGAGUCUUGUAGAGGGGGGUAGAAUUCCAGGUGUAGCGGUGAAAUGCGUAGAGAUCUGGAGGAAUACCGGUGGCGAAGGCGGCCCCCUGGACAAAGACUGACGCUCAGGUGCGAAAGCGUGGGGAGCAAACA